AGUUCACUUUCUUUCCCUCCCAUGGCUUCACCACCGACAAUUAACCUCAUCUGGGUAGUCUUCUCCAGCGUACCCAUCGGAGAUCCUUGCUAUUCUUAGAACAUCACAGCUAACAGAACUUGAAGACGAUUGUUGCAGAAUAGGUCAAAAUUAGGGUUUGUAUUUUUUCAAAACAAACAGAGAUUAUGAGCACCUCCGUACAAUUUCCAGAAUAAAAAAUCGUGACCACCAUCUUCAACCAAACAGAGCACACGAUGGCGACGACCAACGGUAAUUUUUUUAUUUGUAUUAUAGAUCACUGAUGACAUGAUUAUUGUACAUUAUCUUUGUGGUAGGUAGAUUUAGGGGUUUUGCUAAUUUAUUUGAAGUAUUGUUGAGUUUUGCAUUAUAAAUGAGUCAUUUAUGUGGAUUUCUUUGUUUUGAUGGCGAUUUCGAGAUUUAUUGAUGCUGAUUAAGCUUUUUUGGGUGAAGAGAAAAGGUUUACUUUUUAGUCAAAAUAAGUGCAUUUGUAUUAGAAGUUUGAUAUGAAUCACAGCAACAAAAUGUUAUGAAAAGUCUUGGAGUAUAGGCUCAUAAUCAAAAAGAUUGAUGUCUUCAGUUUUGUUCGUCCUCAGUUUUGUUUUAAGGGCUGAUUAGGCAAAUUUGAGUACAAGAAGGAGUUUGACUUCAAUGAAAGAAGAAUUUCUUAAGAAGUUGAGGUUGUUGAAAGAAUUUUAUUUUGUUGAUUAAUGGCAUCCAUUUGAUUACCCCCAUCUCUCUCUCUCUCUCUUUCCGUUCAUCAUACACACUACCACUUGCCUUUUCCCCCAAACUUCAUCUCUACACACCACCGGGACAUCAACUGGCCAGCAAAUCGUCGCUCCUACCAGGCCACCACCAGACCCCCGGGGGGCUGAAUCAUACUCGACAAUCAACAAAUAGUCUAAGCGGUCGUGGUAUUGUUGUACAAUCAGCAUGUUAGGGUUUUUUUUCUUCUCGGGUUGACACGUUUCUUGGUAAGUUUUUAAUCGUUCAUGUUUUGAUUCUUGCAUAAUUAGCGAUGAGAUAUUUAGUACAUGUUCUGCUACUUUUAUGUUGACGGGAUUACGUGCCAACUGUUCUCGAUAAGGUUAGUACAAAUAUGGUGGUCGGCGGGAGCAUGGUUAAUCUAAGAUUGUGGGAUACAUCAAGUUAGUUGCUGGUAAAUAAUUAGUACUUAUUGCAGGUCGAGGACUUUUAAACAAAAAUCACUUAAGAGUCCUCAUGAUAUUGUACUUACAUGUAUAAUCAUUUUUUAUUGUUCCGCAAGAAACAAAACACCCCGUUGGUUAACUCAUUUUGAUUGUUGGAUUUAGUGGUUUGAUUAGGGCUUUGAAUGUUGUUUUGUUUAGGUGAUUAUAAGCCGAUAAUGUUUCCAGGUUUAGUUCUGAGCCGAUUAUCAUUUUGCCAGGUGACACCCAUAUUUGUUGUUGCUAGCACGGUCUAAUAUUAAGGACUACCAUAACUACACAGUUGCACGCGUGCUGUUCUUGCGCAUAUGGGCGGAACAUUAUGGGGAUCUAUGAGGCACAUUAUACCAGCUUCCACAUCAACACUUAGCACCCCCGCUGCAACGCGGGGGGUGCUUCCUUCUAGUUUUUGUAAAAUAUUAACUUUCAAUUAUUAGAAUUUUCUACGGAUAGAUUUUGUUCGAGUCUAUAUCUCUAUAUAUAUUUUUAAAAGAUAAACUUCAUUC
rnacentral:lncRNA from 1 species